rnacentral:rRNA from 1 species
UACGGAGGGGGCUAGCGUUGUUCGGAAUCAUUGGGCGUAAAGGGCGCGUAGGCGGCCGAUCAAGUCGGAGGUGAAAUCCCUCGGCUCAACUGAGGAAUUGCCUUCGAUACUGUUCGGCUUGAGUCCUGGAGAGGGUAGCGGAAUUCCCGGUGUAGCGGUGAAAUGCGUAGAGACCGGGAAGAACACCAGUGGCGAAGGCGGCUACCUGGACAGGUACUGACGCUGAAGCGCGGAAGCUAGGGGAGCAAACAGG